rnacentral:rRNA from 1 species
UUGAACGCUGGCGGCAUGCUUUACACAUGCAAGUCGAACGGCAGCGGGGGCUUCGGCCUGCCGGCGAGUGGCGAACGGGUGAGUAAUGCAUCGGAACGUGCCCAGUCGUGGGGGAUAACGCAGCGAAAGCUGUGCUAAUACCGCAUACGAUCUAUGGAUGAAAGCGGGGGAUCGCAAGACCUCGCGCGAUUGGAGCGGCCGAUAUCAGAUUAGCUAGUUGGUGGGGUAAAAGCCCACCAAGGCGACGAUCUGUAGCUGGUCUGAGAGGACGACCAGCCACACUGGAACUGAGACACGGUCCAGACUCCUACGGGAGGCAGCAGUGGGGAAUUUUGGACAAUGGGCGCAAGCCUGAUCCAGCAAUGCCGCGUGCAGGAUGAAGGCCUUCGGGUUGUAAACUGCUUUUGUACGGAACGAAACGGUCCUUUCUAAUACAAGGGGCUAAUGACGGUACCGUAAGAAUAAGCACCGGCUAACUACGU